CUCUCAUUUGCUGAGAAAUUUAUGGACUGAAUGGGAUGUCAAUUUCUCAGAAUCCCCCACAGUUUUCUUUCUUUUUGUAACUUUCAGAAGAAGGGACAAAACAAGUGUGUCUAAAAGAGGCAAUUUACCAACGAUGUUUAACUUAGUAUUGUGUCUAUCAGCAAUUCUUGUCCCUGCAGGCCAUCUGGAUCAAUCCUUUCCCAAGAAACACAUUGAUCUAGAAGUAUUGUCAUGGACCUCUUAAACCUGGGAAAGUAAUGCCCCUUGACACCCGAUGAGCUGUCAAAGAAGAGAAAAGGGUUGGUUAUAAGCAAUUUUAAGAAUAGUUAAAAUCUGUCUGAAAAGGAUUGCUUUUCAGCUUGGCAUUACACCCCAAUAGCUGCAUUAUGUGAACCUGUCUAUAAA